GAUGAAGAACGUAGCGAAAUGCGAUAAGUAAUGUGAAUUGCAGAAUUCAGUGAAUCAUCGAAUCUUUGAACGCACAUUGCGCCCGCCAGUAUUCUGGCGGGCAUGCCUGUUCGAGCGUCAUUUCAACCAUCAAGCCCAAGGCUUGUGUUGGGGACCUGCGGCUGCCGCAGGCCCUGAAAACCAGUGGCGGGCUCGCUGUCACACCGGGCGUAGUAGAUUUUAUCUCGCUCAGGGCGUGCUGCGGGUCCCGGCCGUUAAAAGCCUUUUUUUACCCAAGGUUGACCUCGGAUCAGGUAGGAAGACCCGCUGAACUUAAGCAUAUCAAUAAGCGGAGGA
rnacentral:misc_RNA from 1 species